AAUCAGCAUGUGUGAUAGUGGAACGGUAUGGAAAGGCCGGCGAUACAGGGUGAUAGCCCCGUACACAAAAUUGCAUGUGUUGUGAGCUCGAUGAGUAGGGCGGGACACGUGGUAUCCUGUCUGAAUAUGGGGGGACCAUCCUCCAAGGCUAAAUACUCCUGACUGACCGAUAGUGAACCAGUACCGUGAGGGAAAGGCGAAAAGAACCCCGGCGAGGGGAGUGAAAAAGAACCUGAAACCGUGUACGUACAAGCAGUGGGAGCAUCCUUCGGGGUGUGACUGCGUACCUUUUGUAUAAUGGGUCAGCGACUUAUAUUCUGUAGCAAGGUUAACCGAAUAGGGGAGCCGCAGGGAAACCGAGUCUUAACUGGGCGUUAAGUUGCAGGGUAUAGACCCGAAACCCGGUGAUCUAGCCAUGGGCAGGUUGAAGGUUGGGUAACACUAACUGGAGGACCGAACCGACUAAUGUUGAAAAAUUAGCGGAUGACUUGUGGCUGGGGGUGAAAGGCCAAUCAAACCGGGAGAUAGCUGGUUCUCCCCGAAAGCU
rnacentral:rRNA from 1 species